rnacentral:rRNA from 1 species
UACAGAGGUCUCAAGCGUUGUUCGGAUUCAUUGGGCGUAAAGGGUGCGUAGGCGGCGCGGUAAGUCGGGUGUGAAAUCUCGGAGCUUAACUCCGAAACUGCAUUCGAUACUGUCGGGCUAGAGUGCGGAAGAGGCGAGUGGAAUUCCUGGUGUAGCGGUGAAAUGCGCAGAUAUCAGGAGGAACACCUAUUGCGAAGGCAGCUCGCUGGGACGUAACUGACGCUGAGACGCGAAAGCGUGGGGAGCAAACAGG